rnacentral:rRNA from 1 species
GGAAUCAAAUACGCAGUAUUUACAAAAAAAAGUCUUCGUUUAUUGGGAAAGAAUCAAUAUACUUUUAAUGUCGAAUCGUUUUUUCUCUUCCUCUUUAUACUUAAUUCACUCACUUAG